UACGAAGGGGGCUAGCGUUGCUCGGAAUUACUGGGCGUAAAGCGCACGUAGGCGGUUUGUUACGUCGGGGGUGAAAUCCUGGAGCUCAACUCCAGAACUGCCUUCGAUACUGGCGAUCUCGAGUUCGGGAGAGGUGAGUGGAACUGCGAGUGUAGAGGUGAAAUGCGUAGAUAUUCGCAAGAACACCAGUGGCGAAGGCGGCUCACUGGCCCGAUACUGACGCUGAGGUGCGAAAGCGUGGGGAGCAAACAGG
rnacentral:rRNA from 1 species